CUUCAUACCCCUCCCUCAGUGUGGCUCACAGAGACUGACCAACAAGCAGUGUGAAAAAGAAGACAAACUACGCAAAUAAAAGCAUAAUAAUAUAAUUAAUAUGUAAAUAAUAAACAGAUGGGUAGUUCAUGAGAACAUGAGUUGUGGAAACCAUCAGUGGCCUCCCGAUGGGCUGGCUGAUCUUAAGGCACAGGAAGAGGCCACGCAGCCCAUCGACGGAGAGCUGAGAACACAUUCCCGAGCGCCUGCUGCCCCGUCUCGGCCCCUGCCGUGUCUCCCUGAGGAUCAGGCUCUUCCUCCGCUGCCAGGUCAUUUAUAAAAGUCACGAAGAGUAGGGGUCCCAGAACAGAUCCCUGAGGCACACCACUGAUCACCGGCCUCCAUGCAGGAUAUGACCCAUCUACAACCACUCUUUGCCUUCUUUGUCAGGGGUUCUCCAACACUGGGGCCUCUGGAGCCCUGAAGAGCAUCUUAAAGAAGCUAUACAAAGGUUCACUGAGGGUACUCAUGGUGCAGUGAGAUGUGGUUUAAUGACAUGCUUGAAGUGUCAGUACUACCCAAAGACAUCCCUUCUCUGGGAUCAACAUCAACAAACUCAUUCGUAAGGCCAGUGAUGUUGUGGGGAUGGAACUGGACUCUCUGACGGUGGUGUCUGAAAAGAGGAUGCUGUCCAAGUUGCAUGCCAUCUUGGACAAUGUCUCCCAUCCACUACAUAAUGUACUGGGUGGGCACAGGAGUACAUUCAGCCAGAGACUCAUUCCACUGAGAUGCAGCACAGAGCGUCAUAGGAAGUCAUUCCUGCCUGUGGCCAUCAAACUUUACAACUCCUCCCUUGGAGGGUCAGACACCCUGAGCCAAUAGGCUGGUCCUGGACAUUUCAUAAUUGACUGGCAUAAUUUACAUAUUACUAUUUAACUAUUUAUGGUUCUAUUACUAUUUAUUAUUUAUGGUGCAACUGUAACAAAAACCAGUUUCCCUCGGGAUCAAUAAAGUAUGACUAUGAUUAUGACUAUGACUCUGAAAAUGAUGAGGCCACAGGACCCUCAACGUCCAGUAAGGGUUGAAAUCUGACUGUAAGAUAGCACAUCCAACAUUGGAGCUCUCCCUUACUACUGCCCAGGAAAGAAUGCACUGUUGACGUAUGAUAUGAGACCACCUCGUCUAACAAAAUGGCUUUGCAGAGGGUGCAGAAGAGCUUCACCGAGAUGUUGCCUGGAUUAGAGAGCAUGUGGUAUAAGGGGAGGUCAGACAAACUUGGAUCGUUUUCACUGAGGGAGCAGAGGCUGAGGGGAGACCUGGCAGGAGUUCACAAUAUUGAUGAGAGCUGAUGUUACUAGCAUCCAUACCUGACUUCGAGGCGAGUGGUCCUGGGUUCGAACCUGGCCGGCUCCUUGCACGCUUUCUGCCGCUCGGCCUCUUUAAAGAAAAGAGAGAAAUGCUAAAGAAGUGGCCGCCCGAUGCACGGAGAGGGACAACAAUAAGACCAUAAGACAAUGGAGUAGAAUUAGGCCGUUCACCCCUUUGUGUCGAUCUGCCAUUUGAUCAUGACUGAUCCAUUUACCUCUCAAUCCAGUUCUCCUGCCUUCUCCCUGUAACCUGUAAUGCCCUGACUUUUCAAGAACCUAUCAACCUCCAUUUUAAAUACACCCAAUGACUUGGCCUCCAUAGCUGCCAGUGACAAUGAAUUCCUCUGGCUAAAGAGAUUCCUCCUCAUAUCCAUUCUAAAUGCACAAGCCUCUAUUCUGGUCCUAGACUCACCUACUAUAGGAAACAUCCUCUCCAAAUGCACUCUAUCAAGGCCUUUCAAUGAGAUCCCUCCCUUGAUUUUUGAAUUCCAGUGAGUACAGCCCCAGAGCCAUCAAAUGCCCCUAAGCUUUUCAAUUCUGGAGCAAUUUUACUAUAUAAAGCAGUCAAUAUCUUUUUCCCCCAGAGUCAAAACGUCUCCUAGAGGGCAACACACACAUAAUGCCGAUGAAUUUGGCAAACAAGAGAAAAUCUGCAGAUGCUAGAAAUCCGAGUGACACACACAAAAUGCUGGAGGAACUCAGCAGGGCAGGCAGCAUCGAUGGAAAAGAGUACAGCCUGAA